GUUUUCAUAUGCACGAUGAUGGUGGAUCACCUUUCGCGGCUGAAGCUAUGACCCUCCGGGGAUAGACUACGAAGAGCUCGUUUCUCUCGCUAAUGAUUCUAACGGCGACAUAAUUCGGGUCCAUCCUCAAGCUUAUAUUAUUCGUGACAUUAAGCUUCUUCUGGGCUUGGACUGGCGAGUUGAGCUUUCUUGGAUUCCCUGUGAUGCUAAUGCAGCAGCUCAUUGGUUGGCCAAGCAGGGUGCUCAUUCAUCCCUUCCUGGGCUACAAUUGGUGACUAAUGUUGCUCCUGAGUUAGAGUGGCUGAUCUUUAAGGAUGCCUUAAUUGUUCCUUAGUUUUUUGUUGUUCUGUUGUUAAUUUUUCAAAGCACCAACAAAAAAUAUUCAUGUUAUUUUGAUACUUUAAAAUAAAAUUUUAUUUUUGUAUUUCCUUUAAUUUUAUGGGCGAAUAGACGAACCAAACAACCUUUAAACAUGGCUAAGUUUCAGAACCAGCCCCGACUGUCCUUAUUUUUUAUAGGUUGAGAGCAAGACA
rnacentral:lncRNA from 1 species